rnacentral:rRNA from 1 species
AUCUGGGCACUGUCUCAACGAGAGACUCGGUGAAAUUAUAGUACCUGUGAAGAUGCAGGUUACCCGCGACAGGACGGAAAGACCCCGUGGAGCUUUACUGCAACCUGAUAUGGAAUGGUUGUACCGCUUGUACAGGAUAGGUAGGAGCCGAAGAGACGUGUGCGCUAGCAUACGAGGAGGCAAUGGUGGGAUACUACACUGGCUGUAUGACCAUUCUAACCCGCCACGCGUAGCGCGUGGGGAGACAGUGUCAGGUGGGCAGUUUGACUGGGGCGGUCGCCUCCUAAAGAGUACCGGAGGCGCCCAAAGGUUCCCUCAGAAUGGAUGGAAAUCAUUCGCAGAGUGUAAAGGCACAAG